AAUUAACGCUGGCAGAGUGCAUAACACAUGCAAGUCGAGCGGAAACCGUAGCAAUACGGUUUUAGCGGCAGACGAGUGAGUAACACGUAGAUAAUCUGCCCUUCAAAGGCGAAUAACCAGCCGAAAGGUUGGCUAAUGCGCCGUACACUCCCCUGAAGGCAUCGUUCGGGGGAAGAGAGAUCCGCAAGGAUCGUUGAAGGAGGAAUCUGCGGCCCAUCAGCUAGNGGCGGUGUAACGGACCACCAAGGCUACGACGGGUACCGGCCUGAAAGGGCGGACGGGCACGAUGGCACUGAGACACGGGCCAUACUCCUACGGGAGGCAGCAGGUGGGGAAUUUUGGACAAGUGGGCGAAAGCCUGAUCCAGCAACUCUGCGUGAGGGACGAAGGUC
rnacentral:rRNA from 1 species